AGUGAACGCUGGCGGUAGGCCUAACACAUGCAAGUCGAACGGCAGCACAGUAAGAGCUUGCUCUUACGGGUGGCGAGUGGCGGACGGGUGAGGAAUACAUCGGAAUCUACUUUUUCGUGGGGGAUAACGUAGGGAAACUUACGCUAAUACCGCAUACGACCUACGGGUGAAAGCAGGGGAUCUUCGGACCUUGCGCGAUUGAAUGAGCCGAUGUCGGAUUAGCUAGUUGGCGGGGUAAAGGCCCACCAAGGCGACGAUCCGUAGCUGGUCUGAGAGGAUGAUCAGCCACACUGGAACUGAGACACGGUCCAGACUCCUACGGGAGGCAGCAGUGGGGAACAUUGGACAAUGGGCGCAAGCCUGAUCCAGCCAUACCGCGUGGGUGAAGAAGGCCUUCGGGUUGUAAAGCCCUUUUGUUGGGAAAGAAAAGCAGCAGGUUAAUACCCCGCUGUUCUGACAGUACCCAAAGAGUAAGCACCGGCUAACUUCGUG
rnacentral:rRNA from 1 species